rnacentral:lncRNA from 1 species
GUGCAGGUAACAGUAGGGUAGGCAAAAGGACCAGCUGCUCCCGCUGAAACUCAGGUGGCAGGCCCAGAUGAGAGGCACAACGGGCCAGAGAUAGGGAGUCGCCUGGGGAACACCCACACCGAGCAUCUUCCCAUCCAGUCACCACCCAGUAGACUGCACCUGGCGGCCGGCUGCAGGAGCCUUUGAGUGAGCACAGAGAGUUCGAGCAGAAACCAUGGGAUACAAUUGUCUAAAAGCCUUGGUUCACAAGGAGUGGGUGUGGGCUGGAAAGGGGGAUUACGUAGGUCUCUCCGCCCCCUCCUCUGCCAUCUCUUAGCCACUGGGAGGGCGCCCAGGGGCGGAGGAGGCGCUGCGAACCCGUUUGGGGGCUCCUUUGUUUCUCUUCGGGCCCCUAUCUGCCGGCUGUACCCAAGCCUUGGGAUGCCAGCCCGGCUUGGGCGGCGACCCGCCCCAAGCCAACAAUUGAACCUCGCGGGAGAAGAGAGGCAGAACUUUACAGAAGAGGAAACCACGAGAAACCAAGUGAAGCCUCAAUUCCCAUCCUCCUCCGUCCCCCGGGAGCACCUCCCUUCCAGCCUGCGCUCGUCACUUCAGGUGCCCAGUGAUUUCUCAAUGAACAUUUCCCUCUGUCUGGCAGGAAUCUGAUCUUCCCACCAGAUGAGUUCAACGCUGACUGUUUUUCAAACCAUAUCUCAAAAGCCACACAGAACCCUGAGCACACAUUUCACCAGAUUUGACAGAUGAGCUUUGGUAUGAAGAAAACCUCCAAGAAUGGACUUGGCUGAGGUGCAACAAUAAACACCAGAAUCAACCAAAUGAUAAUACCA